UAAUCCCUGCGAUGUUUGUUAAGACUUAUAUUCUUUGAACCAAUUGUUAAAAAAUGGCUGUAGAUUUAAGUGAUACUGUUGUGCGCGCCUUUUUAGGAUGUGCCUGAUGUAUCCAUGAAACAGCCGCCUUGGACCUUAUGGUUCAAGAUGAUGGUCUGACGGCAUAUGUGGGGAGCUC
rnacentral:other from 2 species